AGAAAACCCUUUUGUUGGGUUGGGCGAAGCCAUAUUGCUUCUAUUGGCAUAAAACUAUUCCCACACAAUCAAAGUAUGCAGUGGUUUGAUAAUUAAGUACAGAAAAUCUUCGGCUGAUAUCCUUCUUCUCUUUGCGUGAUAAAACCAUGUUUUUUGGAUUAUGAUGCUUAUUCUGAUUCGUAUCUGUAAUCAUUGAUGAUAUAACAUUGUAGGCUUGGAGUAGGUUUUGUAGUCUUUUUCCUGAAAUAUAACUGAGUACUUCAUAAUCGUUGCAGUCCUUGGUUUGUGAUUUUGUUGCUCGAGUACCGAGGUUUAUCUUUUGGUGCUCUCUUAUUGGUUCUCACAUUUGAUUCAUCUCACCAAAUCAUUAAUGUAGAUUUCCUCUUGAAAUUUUAGCUUUGAAAUAGGUAGGUGGCGAUCUUUGCUUGGCUCUAUCAGUUGAUUCACAUAACCUAAUAAUUGAAGUCUUCUUUUCCUUGGGUCGGAAAAAUGGCAAUAAUUCUACUUGAGUUGAUAUUUCUUAAAAAAAAACUAAUGAAAAGGGCAUCAAAUUUUUACAUUUUAAUAAAAAAUCAUCCAUUAAUUUUAUUUAAUGACAAGGACAAAAGAAUUAAAAAAAAACAUAAAAAACCGAACUUGCGCUGGGCGCGUCCCCCAACCCCCCUUCCACACUCCACUUUUUUCCCGAUUGUCUGAUACAUUAAUAGAUUUUUUAUUUAUUUUAUUUUUGCUUAGAAUAAGAAAAAGAGUUCAAACUGAAUUACAUUCCCCAUUUUUAUAUUUCUGGUGUUUUUUUUUCUAAUAAUAGUCAAGAUAAUGAGAAAUUUUUCAAUGUGCUCGGAGCACGGGAUGGUACACCACGUGUAUCUAUACAAGUUGUGAGAUUCUUGUGUAAAAAAUUAAUUACACAAAAAAUAAAAUUUUUCGCUACUUACAUAAUAACACGUGGUGUGCCACUUGUGUUAUGGGCACAAGGUAAAGUUUCUUCAAGAUGACACUCAAGCUCCAAAAAUUGGAUGGAGAGCUGCAUUUAUUUUUGUAGGUAUGUAAAAAAAUGUGAGGAAAUUUUAAUUUAGUAAUUGAAAACAACUUUUUAAAUAUAAUUAUCGAGAACAUAAUCUUCUCAAGGUUUUGAUCUAAUGGAUCACUUCUGGGUUCAUCGUUUUGGGCGCAAUGAGUGCUUUUACAGGACCAAAAAGAGUCUUAAGUUUCAAACCUUAUGAAACUGAACCAAGAAGUAAACACUAUUUAUAAAAGUUGACCAAUAAGUAGACACUAUUUAUGAAACUAAAUCAAUUAGCAUACACUAUAUAUGAAAUUGAACCAAUAAGUAUACACUAUUUAUGAACGAAAACAAGAAUUAGACAAUAUUUCUAAAACUAAACCAAUAGAUGAAAAUUAUUUAUGAAACUGGACUAUACAAUAUUUACGAAACUGGACUAAGAAUUAGACAAUAUUUAUGAAACAAGAUCAAGAACUAGGCAUUAUUUAUGAAAGUGGAUCAAUAACUAGGCACUAUUUAUGAAACUGGACCAAGAAAGAGACACUAUUUAUGAAAUUAUACUAAUUACUAUACAUUAUUUAUAAAACUGGACCCAAUAACUAGGCUUUAUUUAGUCCAAGCAUUUUUCAUGAAAGUUCCCAUUUCUUAAUGAAAUAAACUAAUAGAAUAAUUAAGUCCUUUUGGGACCGCUCUUGCGCGGUUUAGAAUCACUUCUGAAUAAAGCACCUCCCACUUUUAAACCUAGAAUCACCUCCCAAAUAGGCCCUAAGCAAUACAAGAUCCAAAAGCUUUAAAUAAUCAUUUAAGUUAAUCCACCUGCUAAUUAGGAAGAAAAAUAAUCAAUUUGUAAAGUACUCUAAUAACAGUGGUUGUGGAAAAUGGAAACGGCUCCCCUCCGGAUCCAUUAUGUGGGGAUCCUAGAAAGCCUCACAUCUCAGUCAUUCAUCGUGUAUCGUGAUGUCAGAAAUCAUUUGACUUUUAUUAUUUUAAAUUAAACAUAAAUAAUACCUGACGAAAAUUGACUGCACGAUAGACGAUGAACGGCUGAGAUGUGGGGAUCCCAGGAUCCCCACAUAAUGGAUCUGGAGGGGAUUGGAAAAUUAGUAUUUGGUCCUCCCUAGUUACUAAUGCUUAUUGAUUAAGACGUUAUUAGUUUUCAGAUUUUGAUUAAAGUCCCUACCAUUAAUGUAUUGAUGAAUUUAGAUGUCAGUUAUAUAAUUUUUUGAAAUAAAAUUAGUAAUUGUUUUAAGGUUUUAAUAUUCACACCCUUAUUACACUCCUAAUUAAUUUUCAAUUCAAAAUAUUUCCAAAAAAAAAAAAAAAAGAUUUAGUUUGCACCCAUUAAAUUUUUUUGUUUAGAAAUAUUUUCAAUUUUUAAUCUUAAAUGUAACCAUUCAUAUAACUUUUCAAUUUUUUAAUCCUAAAUGUAAACAAUACUUUUUUUUUAGUAUAACAUGUACCCAUUUCUUUUUAUAUAAGAUCCAUUCCAUUUUUUUCUAAUCUAUAUUUUAAACUUAUAUGGGUACAUUCUAUUUCGUUGAUCUAAGAAUGUAUCCCCGUCAAGGAAGAAAAUAUCGGUAAUAUCGGAAAUAUCGGUAGUCCGAAAACAUGGAAAUAUCGAUGGAAAUAUCGGGAUAAUAUCGAUAUCGAUAAAAAUUACAUGGAAACCACGGAAAUUGUAAGAAAAACUUGGAAAUUUUUAUUGAAACUUUGCAGGAUGUUUAUUUAGUCAAUUAUCUAUUAGUUUAUCACAAAAAAUUGGAAGGAAAUGCAUUGCAUGAUGGAUUUAACAUUAUCAAGUUGAUUAUAUAGCGAGCUGACAAACAUUGUGACUAUAGAAAAUAUGUAGAAAUUAAUGAAAGAAGUCUAAACACACCAUAAUCAUUAUAUAUAAUGAAUUAGUACAAUAUUUUACACUUUAUACAUUGCAUGGUAAGAUACAUGAGUGACUUAGUACCACAUAGAGUUCCUAUGAGGUUCAAAAUUUUCACUAUCUUCAUCAUCUCUAUGUGUAGAGUGAGUGUAUUUUGAAGAGUAGUUACCAACUAUGGCAAUGGUUUUCAAGAACCAAAACCCAAAAGUCAAUAGGAAACCGAAUACUUCAGUAUUUUUCGGGAUUACCAAACAAAUGGGAUUUGGAAACCAAUCCCAUAUCGAAAAUUUCGGUAUUUUUCGGGAUGGGAUUCCCGAACUUCAGGAUGGUUUUGGUUUAGGAUUUUUCGGUUUGGGUUUGGGACUUUUUCGGUUUGGUUUGGGAUUUUCCGGAAUUUUUUCCAGCCCUUGACCAAAUAAAAAAUAGAAAAAUUAAAAACCACUUGCCAUUGACUAAGUAAUUAAUUGACACAAUUUAAAAUAUAAUACCACAAAAAAUUUGGAAUAUGUGCAAAUUUGUUUCUUGUAAAAAUAAACCAUAUAUAUAAAUAUUGUAGCUUAUUAUCAUAACAACAUAAGUGGUACAGUGGUUAAGGCCUUAAGAAGUUAAGGGGGAGGGGUUCGAACCCCUUUAUACUCAAAACCGAGUCUUUUCCAAAUUUUAAGGAAUUUUUGGACUAAUAUCGCGACAUUUUAGCGAAUAUCGCGAUAUUAUAAAAAAUAUCGAGAAAUAUCGCGAUAUUAUCGAUAUUUGCGAUAAUAUCGCGAUAUUUUAACGAAAACUCAUUGGAUACUCCUUAAAAUAUCGGUAAGUAAAAAAAACGAAAAUUUCGCCGAUAUUUUCGAUAUUUAAAUCCAUGAUCCCCGUCAAGUUUAAUCAAAUAAAUUUAAUAAUGUUAUUAAGUCUUUUUUUGUGGUUUUGGAAAAUGUACCCAUGUUUUGGUACAAUAAUUUUUUUACUAUUAUUUACGAAUGUGUAUAUACACAAUAUAUUGGAGAGUAUAAUUUAUCCUUUAAUAUUUUUAAUUCCACUAAUUAUGGGUUUUAUUUAAAAUCUCAUAAAUAUAAACAACUAUAACUACAAAUUUCAAUUUUCAAUUUAAGAAUAUAAUAACUUACAUAUAAAUAUAUUAUUUCAUUAAUGUCAAAGACUUAGAUCAAAAGCUGAAAACCAACAAGAUUUCAGUUAAAGAGCAUUGAUAGUUAGGGAUCGCAUCCCAACUCUGCCCUUAAAAAAUUAUUAUUCUAAGCAAUGCGCAUCUAAAACUAUGAUAUCUCAUCUUAUCAAUCUUAGAUUUAAAUAGUGACUAGAGAUUACAAAGAGAGAUGAAAACAAGUUUAAUAACAAUUAAGGAUUUUGUUAUUGCAUGAUUCAGUGAGUUUCUUACUGAAUAACAUCGUAGAGGAGAAAUGAUCACUUGUAGGAAAAUGAUUCAAUGAGUUUGUUACUAGAUAACAUUUGAUUCAUUUUUUAUUUGCUCAAUAAAACGAUUAAAAAGAAAUUAGAGUGUGUAUAAGUAACAAAUUAAUGAGAGUUUGUAAAAUGUAAAAAGAAAUGAGAGUAUGUAAUGGGAUCAUUAACAACAUAAUCAAGAAUAAUCAUUAUGUUUAUCUCAUUGAAUCAGCAUUUUCUAUUUGUCAAAAAAUAGGACAAACAUAAUGAUGUCUAAAUUCAGAAGCUGGAAUACAACUAUGAUUCAUUGAGUUUCUUUUUGUCAGAAAAUGUAAGUUGAUGUCUAACUUCAGAGUUGUACAGCUAUAGAGUAUGCUAUUUAUUUCAUCUUAUACUCCAUAUUUGUGCUUAGAGAUAAGCAAAAUGAUGUAUGAGAAACUUCAUCAAGCAGCCCUUUUGUUUUAAUGGUUUUUCGGUUGAUGUUUUGUUUAAUGGUUGCUCUUUUGCGACUAAAUUGGUGGUUUCAUAUAUUAAGUUCAAUUGUUAGAAAGUAGAAUUUUUCUUCGGUUUGGACGUGAUUUUUUCCAUAUAUUUAAUUACUUACAGAACUUGAUCGUCUCUGUUUCAACUCUGUUUGCGUUAUGAAUAGCAACUCUUUCCAAGUUUAACAUGGAUUUAUUUUUAGAGUGGAAUUAUGUACAGAAAAUCUCUAAAGAUGCUGACAAUGGAGGGACAUUGAUUCAGAACACAGUGGUCAAGUCUUUACAAGCUAAUUCUGCAGGUAAUAGAAACUACACCUUUUCUCUCUGCUUGCAUGCUUUUUAACAUAGAGAGAAAUUGAAAUUGUACUUUAGAAUUAGCGUUCUUUUUUAUGAUCUACUGCCUGGUAAGGGUUCUUGAAAUUGUAUUUUAGAAUUAGUGUUUUUCUUGAUUCAAAACAAAAGGUCUAUAAUUUCCUUCCUACAUUCCAUGUAUUUACAUAGUAUUGCCUAUUGUAAAUAUAUUUACAAAUUUUACAUGUUUUAUACGGUUUUGAAACACUCAACAUAAGGGACCUCUGUUUCAUAUGUAUUUAUUUUUGCUUAAAUGUCAAAAUGGUCCCUGUAUUGUAGCCACAUGGCAAAUUUAGUCCCCAUGUUUUUGUUUUGGUUAAUUUAGUCAUCAUGUUUGUUUCUGUUAGUCAAUUAAGGAUAUUUCAUUCAAUCUCUUUUAAAAAAUUCAUAAGAAAAUUUAUAUGAGAUAUUAUUAUCAUUUCUCUUUACAAAAAAAUGCAAAUUAAUAAGAAAUAACACAUAUAAGAGAUAAAACUUCCAAUCUGAAAAAUGAUUAAGAUUGUGACAUAGAAAAGAGAGGGUAAUGUUAGGGAGGAGGUCGGGAAAUUGGAAGGAGAAUAAAUUUUCUUUUAAUUUCAUUUUUAAAUAUUUUAAAUCAAAUAAAUAAUUUUAUAAAUAAGUUUACAAUAAUUUAUAAAAAAUUUUACAGAAAUUAGAUGGAAAUGUCCUUAAUUGGCUAAUGAAGAUAAACACAAUGACCAAAUUGAUCAAAUUGAAAACACAUGAAUUAAAUUGACCCAAUAACUAAAACACAGAGACCAUUUUAACAUUGAAGCCUUUAUUUUUAGAACACUUCCAGCCCAGCCAAGUCCCCUGGGCGAUGAGCUCUGGAAUCCCCCUACCCAAAAAAAAAGAAAAAGAAAACGCAGCUCCAGCCCAUUCCAAUAACCUCGGCUCCCCUGGAGCCCCCACUUUUCCCCCAGGUCCGAAUUGACUGGCCCAGCCACCGGGUGGUAUGACAUCACUUUGAUGUUAGCCAUGAUUAGAAAAUUAUAAAAAAUACAAAAACUUAUAAAAAGUCAAUUAAAAAUAUAAAAAAGUUAUAAAUUUUUUUCUAUAAAUACCAUAUUUUUUCACUUUACAUCACAUUUCAAUAUUUUCAAAUACUUUUCAACCAAUUUUUUAUUGUCAUUCCAAAUUAAAAAUAAAAUUAUUUCUUAUUAAAAAAUAUUUUAAUACCAAUAACCUGGGCUAUUUGGUGGAGAUGUAAUGAGACAGUUACUGUUCACUAAAGACAGUUACUAACUUACCAUCCACUUUGGCGGAUUGGGUUGCCUAUAGCACAUGGAGACAUUUAGGGGUAGGGUUGCUCUAAAAAGUGGAGUUUUAAGGCAGCCGAUGAGAAAUGACUCCAAACGCAUCUACUUUUGUGUUAAAUAUAAUAAAGUCAGUCUUUGUUUAAUAUCAAUCCAAUAACUCUUGGUUUGAAUUAGUUUAUUUGUAGCGAAAACGAACCAUAGUUUUCGUUACAUUGAUAUUGCUAGCUAAUUUGUGAUUAUCUCCCCCAGCAAAACUCAAUUCCAUUUGCAAAGAAGAGAUCGAUCAUGGCUGUGGAGGUGGUAGGCGGAGCAUUUUUCUCCGCUUUCUUUCAACAAGUAUUUCAAAAGAUGGAUUCUCAGGAGGUCAAGAACUUCAUCAGAGGAAAGAAACUGACUGAUGGGUUGCUGAAGAAGUUGAGGAUCGAGUUGUUAUCUGUCAAUGCUGUUUAUGAUGAUGCCGAGCAAAAGCAAUUAAGUAACCCAGUUGUGAAGCAGUGGCUGCAUGAGCUUAAAGAGGCAGUCUUUCAUGCUGAGGACCUUCUGGACGAGAUCAAGACAGAAGCGUUAAAGCGGAAAAUGGAAGCUGAAUUUGGAAGUAGCAUAAGCAAGGUACAAGACCUCAUCUCUGCUUCUUUCCAUGCUUUUGAUGAGUCUAUAGACAACAAGAUAAAGGAAAUUAUUGAGACGCUAAGCUUCAUUUCACAACAGAAAGAUGCCUUCGGUUUGAAAGAACGUUGUAGUCACAGAAUCUCACAAACAUUGCCUUCAACUUCUUUAGUAGAAGGCUCUGAUGUAUAUGGAAGAGAUCAUGAGAAGGAAACCAUCAUUCAAUUGUUGCUAUCAGAUGAUGUUACUUGUAAUAAGAUUGGCGUCAUUCCCAUCGUGGGCAUGGGUGGGAUCGGAAAGACCACCCUUGCCCAGCUCUUAUACAAUGAUGAUAAAGUGAAGCAGCAUUUUGUGCUCCAGGCAUGGGUUUGUGUUUCUGAUGAAUUUGGCGUUGUUAAGAUCACACAAACAAUUUAUGCAUCAGUCACUUCACAAACCUGUGAUACCACAGACCUAGACCAGCUUCAAGUCAAACUCAAAGAUGCUUUGAAGGGGAAGAAGUUUCUUUUUGUUCUUGAUGAUGUUUGGAAUGAGAAUUACAAUAUUUGGGAUUCCUUAAGGCGCCCCUUCGAGUCUGGAGCUCAUGGAAGUAAGAUCAUUGUCACCGCAAGGAAUGAUGGCGUUGCAACUACGAUGGGUACUUUGCAAACCCACUAUUUAAAGAACUUACUUGAGGAAGACUGUUGGUUUUUAUUUGCAAAACAUGCCUCCAAAGAUGCAAGUGGUGUUGUAGAUCCAAAUCUUGAGGUAAUUGGAAGACAAAUUGUUAGCAAGUGUAAAGGCCUUCCUUUAGCUGCAAAAUCUCUCGGUGGUCUCUUACGCUCUGAAUCAAAAGUGGAGGAGUGGGAAAAUGUGCUAAAAAGUGACAUAUGGGAGUUGUCAUAUGCAAAGAUUGACAUUCUGCCGGCUCUAUGGCUAAGCUACCAGUACUUGUCUCCGGAGCUGAAGCGUUGUUUUGCUUAUUGUUCCAUAUUUCCCAAAGACUAUAAAUUUAACAAAUCUGAAUUAAUUUUGUUGUGGAUGGCCGAAGAUCUUUUACAACCCCAAAAGAAGACUAUGUUGGAAGAUGUUGGAAAGAAAUACUUUGAUGAUCUGAUCUCACGGUCAUUUUUUCAAUACUCAUCUUCAAAUGAUUGUUUCAUCAUGCAUGAUCUGAUGCAUGAUUUGGCGACUUACGUAUCUGGAGAAUUUUGCAUUAGAUUGGAAGACCACAACUUCUCAUUGGACGUUGUGAGCAAGGGGUCGUCAUUUUUUUUCUUAUUUGCAAUAUUCAUCUAAUGUUGAUUAUAAGAGAUUUGGCACUAUUUAUGAAGCUAAGUAUCUGCGCACCUUCAUUCUUGGCGAUCUCUAUUUGCCGACAGUACGACUUGAUCUCCUUUUAAUGCUACAGUGUUUAAGAGUCAGUUUCAAAACUACGUGUGCAUGAUAUCACGGAGUUGCCUGAUUUGAUUAGCAACUUGAAGCAUCUACGGUACCGAUCAUUGUACCAACUUGUGUGACCGGACACGUGUAACACUCCAAUCCCAGAAAUUACACGAACACGGUAUGCAGGUUUGUUUGUAUAAUUUACAAACAUUGUUGUUGUUGUCAAAAUUGUACAUGUCUAGCUGAGUUGCCCACCGAUUUGAGAAGACUUAUCAACUUGCGCCAUCUUGCUUGAUUUCAGAGGUACGAAAAUAAAAAAGAUGCCCCCCCACAUGGGCAAGUGGGCAAGUUGAAAGAUCUCCAAACAUUCGGAGGUGAGUUUGUCUUGCUUGAGCAAAGAUGCUGGGGGAUACAUUGAUGAGUUAAAGGGGUUUCAGCAUUUGAGUGGAAAUCUUCAUAUUUCAGGGCUUCAAAAUAUCAAACAUGCUGAGGAUGCUUUGGAGGCCAAACUGAGGGACAAGAAGCUCAGUGAAAUACAUUUGAAAUGGGAAGGUGACACUGCUGAUUCUCAAAACGAUAGCCGAGUGCUGGGCAACCUGCAGCCCAAUACAAACCUAAAGGUACUGGCUAUAAAGGGAUACGGAGGUAUAAAGUUUCCAGGUUGGUUAGGAGAUGAGUCUUUCUCUAAUCUCAUCACUCUCCGACUUGAGAAUUGUGGAUAUUGUUUCUCCCUGCCAGCAUUGGGGCGGCUAACGUCCCUCAAAAGGCUUGAAAUUGAUGGGUUGAAUGGAGUGGAAUUAGUGGGGUCUGAGUUUUAUGGGCCUGCAUUUAAAUCUCUGGAGUUUCUGAGUUUCCGCAGUAUGCGGGAAUGGCAAGAGUGGUGUUUCCCUGGAGGUGAAGAAGAAGAAGGCGGACAUUUUCCUAAUCUUUGCGAGCUUAGUCUGGAGAACUGUCCCAAACUAACGGGGAAAUUACCGUUAUACUACUUCCCAAGACUUGAGCGGCUAAUUUUGCAGAAAGUUAAUAUCGAAUCCCUUGCUUGUUCGCAAGAAUGCAAUAAAUUCAAUAUUGAACUCCCAUCCCUCCGUGACUUGGGAAUAUCAGAUUGCCCGAAUCUGGUAUGUUUUGUGGGUGGUGGAGUGCUGCUUGCGCCCAACUUGAAGAGGAUAUCUAUGUGCCGUUUUAAAAACUUGUGGUCAGUGCCAGAGGAGAUGCACGCCUCUCUCCCGUCUCUUCAGUCUCUGUCCAUGGAAGAGUGUGAAGAAUUUAAAUCAUUUCCUGAAGAAUCUAAAUUCCCAUCCCUCUAUUAUUUGAAGAUAAAGGAGUGCCCAGAAUUUGUGGGUUUCCCCCAUGGAGGACUGCAAGCGCCCAACUUGAAGAUGAUGAAAAUCUAUGAAUGUAACAAAUUCGGGUCAGUGCCAGAGGAGAUGCACGCCUCUCUCCCGUCUCUUCAGUCUCUGUUCAUAGAAGGGUGUAAAGAAUUUAAAUCAUUUCUGGAAGAAUCUAAAUUCCCAUCGCUUGAUGAUUUGAGGAUAUACAAAUGCCCAGAAUUUGUGGGUUUCCUCUAUGGAGGAGGACUGCAAGCGCCCAACUUGAAGAGGAUGGAAAUCAAAGAAUGCAAUGAAUUCAGGUCACUGCCAGAGGAGAUGCACGCCUCUCUCCCGUCUCUUCAGUCUCUGUCCAUACUAGGGAGUAAAGAAUUUAAAUCAUUUCCGGAAGAAUCUAAAUUCCCAUCCCUCAAUAAUUUGUAUAUAAUGAAUUGCCCAGAAUUCAGGUCACUACCAGAGGAGAUGCACGCCUCUCUCCCAUCUCUUCAGUCUCUGUCCAUAGAAGGGUGUAAAGAAUUUAAAUUCCCAUCCCUUAAUCAUUUGUGUAUAAUGAAUUGCCCAGAAUUCAGGUCACUGCCAGAGGAGAUGCACGCCUGUCUGUCUCCCUUCUCUUCAGUCUCUGUACAUACAAGGGAGUAAAGAAUUUAAAUCAUUUCCGGAAGAAUCUAAAUUCCCAUCUCUCUCGUAUUUGAAUAUAUGGUAUUGUCCAGAAUUGGAAUCAUUUCCGGAAGGGGGAUUGCCGUCCAAAUUGCUUUCACUCAGAAUCGGGAGUUGUAAAAAACUGAUGGCAAACCGUAUGCGGUGGGGUCUACAAACACUCACCUCUCUCGAAAGAUUGGAUGUCAGCUUCUCAGAAUGUGAAGAAGAAGAAAUUGGCGAAUCAUUUCCAGAAGAGGGGCAGCUGCCAACCACUCUCACUUCUCUCGGAAUCUUCCAGCAUCCGAAUCUGAAAACAAUUGACGGCAAGGCGUUAAGACACCUCAUCUCUCUCAAGGAGUUGAACAUUUUUUUUUGUCCUCGACUCCAGAGCUUGCCAGAUGAAGGGCUACCCACUUCUCUUUCUGGUCUAGAAAUCCGCGAGUGUGAUUUGCUAACACAACGGUGCCGGAGAGACACGGGAGAAGAUUGGGCCAAGAUUUCUCACAUCCCCAAGGUAGUGAUUGAUAACCGAAAGAUAUGAUUUGCAAUGGUACGUAAUUCAUCAACGUGUGUUUAUGUGUUUAUUUACGAUAUGGCUGUGUAAAUUUUAAAUCAUAAACAUGUUUCAAAUGUUAAUGUUCACAUAAUAACAAAUUUUACAGGUACUCUUGUCCCAUAUAAACUUGAAAGUAUUUGCGAUAGAAAGAUACGGAGCUACAAAAAUUCCAAAUCGGUUAGGAGAUGACUUGUUCGUUCUCUCAUCUUGUUACUCUUCGACUUGUGGAUUGUGAACAUUGUUUUUCAAUGCCAGCAUUGGCACAGCUACCAUCUCUCAGAAGGCUUGACACUGAUGGGUUAAAUGGAGUGGAAUUGUUCCUCUUUUCUUAUUGUGUCUUACGGUGGUUCUAUUAUACGACAGUUUGUUGUAUCGAACUAGUCUUCGGUGAAAAAGGAGCUUCAACAAGUCUAUGAGCUCUAGUUUUCGAAUUUCCUUUUUCAAGUUUGUUUCCAAAUUAUGUCUAUUGAGAGGUAGAUUUUGGUACUUUGUAGAAUUCGAAUUCAAAUGUUUGGUUUGUAAAAUAUGGAUGAUGAUUUCAUUUCUGUGGAACUGUGAAUCUAUGAUCAUGCUUGAAUGUUGUCAGACCAUUAUCUAUUCUAAAAUUGAGGAGGGAUUUGACUGUAGCUUAGCUACAGUCAAAUGAUUGACCCUCGAUUUUGCUUUAUUUACAUCACUACCAUUAUAUCUCUGGCUGGGUUGGAAGGGUAAUUAUUACAACUUAGAAGGGUAAUUUUGUCCGUGGGUUUGAACCGAAUUUCACUUUUAUUUACAAAAUUGCCACCGCCUUUUCCUUCCCUCUUUCUCUCUCCCGACUCUCUCUCGGUAACCAUCCAUCAAAUCCCCAUCCUUCCCUUUUCUCACUCUGUAAGUCUCAUUUCCUACAACCCUAGAGCACCGUUUCUCUCUCAUUUCUCUCAAAUUUGACUCAGGGAGAGAGAGGGAAGGGGGACAGAAGGGUUGACAGGUUGGAGGGAGAGGAUCGUCGGGAUUAGGGGAGAGGAUUUUCGGCAGGGAGGUAUGGGUUUAGGGAGAGAGAGAGUAAGGGAGAAGUAUGGGGUAGGCGGAUUUCCAGGGAUUUCUUUUCACCCCUUCACUCACCACGAACCCACCUUUCCCUUCUUUUCUUCCGUCCUCAAAUCUUCUGAUUUCCCUCUCACAAAAUACCCACCAAGGAAACCCUACUUUUGGUUUAUUUUGGGAUUUUGUUUGCGCUCUCGAUUUUCAGACGACGGGCCAAUUGGUUGAUAUUUGGAUUUCUUCUCCUUUUGUCGAAACGCACAAAUUUUGUUUCGGUGGGAUUGGUCUCGAAUAGCUGCGUGUGUCUACCUUUCCAAGGUAUGGUGUUCACCGAUGGCAUGUUUUAGUGUGUUUCUGUUUUUUUUUUCUUUGUUUUGUAUUUCUAAUUUAUCGUUUGCUGCUUGACAAUGGUGAUUGUAUGUUUUAGUUUGGAUGUUUUUCUGAUUUUGGUUUGGUCAGUUUUUUUGGGCUGCUUGAGAAAAUGUGAUCCCAUGUUUUGACUGAGUGAAAUAAUUAAUAGAUAAAAAGAGUGGAGAAUUAGUGUCAAGAGUAGUGAUGGAAAAAAUGAGGAAAAAAAUAUAGAUGUGGAAGAAAAAGGGGGGGGGGCUGGAAAUCGAGCAAGGUGAAGAGAAAAAAAAUAGGGGUUAAGUGAGCAGCCAAAAGAGAAAAAAAAUGAGGGGAAAAGGCUUAAUUUGGGGAGUGGGCAAAAGAGAAAAGCAAGGGAAGGGAGACAGAACAGGAACAAGGUGUGGUUUUGUUGUUGGUUUUAUCCAAAUUUUUGAUUUGGCAUUGGUUUGAAGCUUAUGUGUUAUUAGUAUAGUCUAAUUUAGUGUUGGUUUAUCUAGGUUUGUAGCUAAUUUAAUGUUAAUGUUGAUCUAGGCGUUUUAAUUUGUUGUGAACUUAUAUGAGUUUCGUUUUUUAAUUGUUAUUUUACAGUUGCUAGGGAUGACUUUGGCUUUUAUAUUGGUUUGGGUAUUUUUUUUUUUCAUUUGAAGAUUUAGUGUCAUUAUACACCUUUGCACCACUGUUUGUUCUGUUUUUCUCGGUUUCUGUAUAUAGUUUUGGUACAAUUGGACUGUUCUUUUUAACUUAAUUAAAGUUUUUGAGACUUAAUUGAAUGAAAGUUUAGUGUGUGUUUUGGACUAAUGGUUUUGUGUUGUUAUGUGGGUUUGUGAAGAUGGAUGGAUGUGUGGCUCGGUUGCAGGAGCUGCAGUACACAGUUUCGGGCGGUACGAAGGUGAUCUCAGGAGUGAGUCUCAGCCCUGGGAGUUCUAGAGGUUAUCUCAGGGCUAGCCUCCGAUGCAAACAAGAAACUGCAAGGUAAUUGAGAAUCUGAUUUUAAUUUGAUUUGUACAAACCAGGAACAAAAAAUCCCAGCUUUUGCUUGAAUUUGAAGUUUUUGAUUUUGAUAUUGGAACUGAAAUGGGUCUUUUGAUUUAUGCAGGAUUAAAGGCUCAGCCCCUAGAAAAUCUCCUGUUGGCAAGUUUCCAGCAAAGGCAGGAGGUAUCUCCCUCUCUCUCUCUCUCUCCCUAAAAUCAUAGACGUAUGGCCAAAUGUGUUUUUUGACAAGAAAGUUUAUCCUUCACUUUUUUUCAAAGAACAAAAUUGAGUUUAGAUUCAAAAUCUGAACCUUUUGUUUUUGAAAAUACGACAUUCUAAACAACAGAAGCUCAUUACUUUUUGUUUUUUAAUAAAGCCAUUACCAGUUUCUGAAUUGAUUCUACAUUUUACUCUGUUUUUAUGCCUAAUACCGUUUGUUUUCCAUUGGGUAGCUGUAUAAGUUUUCCAUAAGCUUCGAUCAUCUCCCCAAUAAACCCAGAGCCUCCUUCUCUCCCGCUAAGCAAAAGAAAAUCAAGGAGGCCUGCAACUUCGUUUGCAGUCCGCCACUGCAAAUCAGUCUGGAAACUGGAUUCAAAGGUAAAACACACCGAUGUCUUUGAUUUUGGUCUCUACUGCACAGUUUGACAGACAAAUGAUAAACCUAACACAUGCAUGCUUUGAUUUCCUUGGUAGGUCAUAUUUUUCACUUUCUGGAUGUGCAAAGUCUGGAUAGUACACAUCACCGGACCAAACCUUUAUCAGGUAAGGAAUUCCAUCGCGUUUGUUGAAAAUAUUUGCUUCCUUUCCUCUCAUGUAUGUGUAUGUAUGAUUGUAUGUGUGUGAUUUUAGAUUGUAAUGCAUCACAAAUUUGUGGCAUAAAAAUUGACAUUUGUAGACUUACCCUUUGUUUGGUGACUGUGAUAAUUGAGAGAAAGGAAAAUAAAAUUUCGAAGAUUGAUGCUUUUAUGUGAUUUCUUGGCUCUUUUUUUCAUAUGAUUUUCAUUGUAUGUGUGCCAGUGUAUGUCUCUUCUUGAAAAAUACAUGUUGAAAAUGGGAGAAAAUUUUGGACAUGACACGUUUAGAAGUGAGGUUUUUCUGAAUGAAGACACUUUUAUGAUUUGUUUGUAAUUUGUUUUGCAAAUGGGUAGGAAUGUCAUUCUAAAAGGAUAUUGGCAGGAGAGGGUGGAAUGUCAUUCUAAAAUAUGUGUAAUUCAAUUCUCUCAUUUUCUAUAGCAGAAUUGCGGAUUUCUAAAUCGAAAAGGAGAAAUAAACACUACAGCAGUUUAUGCAGAAGGAGCAUGUAAAAGAGAAGCACAGGUAAAGGUUUAUGAGGUCAGUUUGCUGUUUUCUUUUUAGUGUUUUCAAUUUGUUCCUUUUAGUCUGGCUGCAAUUUUUUAAUCUCUGGUUAUGCAUCAAUUUCUCUGCUUCUUUGUAAAUCUUGCAGGUGAGGACAACACACUUAUCGGGGCAAUGUCGGGAUGUUUAGGCUUGGGUGGAGACAUGGACUUAUGGAAGAGGUGAAGUAGCUUAGGUUUCUGUCAUUAGCUUUAUCUGUUCUAUGCAUCUCUGCAAUCUUACAAUGCUCCUUUAUUUAAUUGCAAGAUGUUGGGGACCGGUUACUGGAAUACAAGAUUUGGAACAAAAGUGGUUGACAAUGCAAGAGUCGAAAGCAAGUGUGAAAUUCACAUUGAAAAUGACAGGUGAGAAUGCUAAUCAUAUUCUAAAAAAAUGUUGGGUUUCCUGAUGAGUUCUCUAGCUGAAUUCAAGAGGCUAAAUUAGUGAUUUGGAGUUAAUUUUGUAAAUUUAUUGAAUAAAGUUAUUUGUUAUUUAGCUUAUCUUGCGUUUGGUUUGGUUUUAGGAGAGGGUUACGCAUGAUCCGUAGCUUCAUUCAACCUCGCUGUUUUCGUUAGAAUCACAAUUAAAGGUCAGUUUUUCCAACAUUUUUUUUGCUUUUUGCUGCAUGUUUGUGCAUGUUUGGUCUCUGAGAUUUUGUUUUUAGUCACUGUUGAUUUGUAGUUUAUGUCUUCCUUUAGCUACAUAUUGACACAUGUUUAUUCUCAGCAUUUUUUUGUUAUGGUAAGUGGUUUGGGGAGUUCUGUAUUAUUAUAUAAUCUUUGGGGCUAUUUUAAGUAAAAAUGAAAUGUUGACAUUGAUAUAGCAUACGGCACACUUAAUUCACACUCCUAUAUUCGGUUUUCAUGUUUCCAUUGCAACACUCUGCAUUUCCGAGCCAAUGAAUUUUUUGAUAAAGAUGUACUUAAAGCAAUUACAUGCUCUAUCAAGUAUGUUUUAUAUGUGGUUGUGGUAGUUGCAAGGAAAUGAAAUAUUUGUGCUGAUAAUUGGUAGUUUAAAUAUAUAGAAAUAGAGAAGAAUUAUAAAUGGAGCACCUAGGAUAUUUAACAUUGUUUUCUUUUCCAUGUAUUUUUUCUCAUGUUUAAUAUCUGCUUUUGCUUAUGCAUAUGAUUCAAGUGCUAUUUUUAUUAGUGUUAAUUUUGGGUUGCAUAUCAACAAACUAACCCAGUUAAUUUUGCUUAGUGUUCAUGUAUAACGAGAACUCUCAUUGCAUCAACUUGAACAAACAUUCUUCUACUUAGUUGCUUAGCUGCUGCAACAAGAACGAAACACUUUUUAUGUGUUUUUGUUUAACUGCUAAAACAGGUGAUUGGCCUCCAGGACAUAUAUUUUGCCAUCUUAACUUUAAAGGCAAUACAUAUGUAAAAUGCAUGUUGCUUAGGGAAACAGAGCAUUUUUUGCAACCACAUCUUUUGUAAUCAGCUUAGUUGAAUGUAUAUAAAAGUUAAGCUACUUAUCUUACCUACACCGAUCACUCAUCUAUCAUUUUUGUUCGUUCAUGAUUAUGUUGAAUUUUUUUUCAGGUUAAAUGUGUCUUAUUCAUGUAGUUAAGGAUGGUGCAUUCAAGUCCCGCAGCAACGCGCGGGCAUUUUUCUAGUAGUAUCGAAAACCCUCUGUUGUUUACCAAUCGAUCUCAAGCGGUCUAGAUUCGAUUUGUUUAAUUAGUACUGCAAGAUGAUCUUAUCUACUAAUCAUGUCUUAUCAAAUGAUUACCAUUUCAUCAUGCCCUUAGGGAUGCAUAGAGCUUCAAAAGUUUUCAAGUUGCUGCGCAUGUGUAGGUUUGAAGUCGUGCAAUGAUAUGUACGCGAAACUUAUGAGCAAACAAAAGCAAACAACUCUUAUACAUAAAUGUCGGCUGCCAGAAAAUCUCAGUAGUACCAGAGAAGAUAAGCUUGUAAUAAAUUUCUAAUUCUCAAAACAGAGCAAACAAGAGAAACAAGAUCUACAUAUAAGUACCCCUAGUUGGCCGGCACACAGGAUUUCUUUUACGAGCAUGUUCUUCAUUAUGGUGCUGUGUCCGACAUGCAUAUCCAUACCAGCAAUUUUCCCUGUUUGAUGCCUCUGUGGGUAGAUGAUAUUUGGGAAUCGAAAUCCGAAACCAGUACAAGAGGAAGGAGAUCAGCUUCUCAUAACAGUAAUUGCACGUAGGUGUCCCAGAAGUUAUUGCCUCAGCAUGAUUCAGGGGCAUCCUCGUUCGAUCAAUUUCUCUGUUGUUCAACUUUGCAAGCCAUUCUGCAAUAACAUCCUGUGAUGUUCUCCCCAACUGUACAGUACACUUCUCAGUGAUCACUUGUUCAUGUCGAUUGUUUUCAUGAGUUGAAGUAGGGAUUCCAGAGAUGGUCCAUUCUGAGAUUGGUUUAAAAGUCUCGCGACUGCACACAUGGUGAGAAUCACUUUGUGAAACCCCUUGCGCAUGCCAAUAUAAACUGCAAAAUGCCUUAUCACAUCCUAAACAGUGUUGAGGUACACUUAUUGGUGCACGAAGGCAUCAUUCCUCCGCAUGCUUGACAUUGCAGAUGGAUAGUGGUUUGAUUGCAGCGGAACGCACCAUAUUCAGUACCACAUUGAGGGCAUGGAUUUGAUGGAUUAUGAGCUUCUUCAUCCACCUGGGAGCGAGCCCUUUUUCUGCGAAGAUGUUUUCCAGAGUUUACGACAAUAUUAGAUUGUAUUGUUGCAUAAGAGUCUAAAAUUGCCACUUCAUCAUUGGUGCGUUUUAGUGAAUAGAAGAGAACAAGAUCUCUGAGCAAACUACAAUCUCAUAUGAAAUAAUUUCAACAUCCGGAUAUCUCAAGUCUGAUGGAACGAGCUUGGCCCAGAAUUCUUCACAGGGUUUUGCACCCGAGCUCUCUCCAACUUCUGCCAUCCCUUGAAUAUAUUCACAAAGGACCCAGAAACCAUUAAUUUAGAUCUCAAAGAUAAGUAACCGGCCAUUGUUAUGUUCAUUUAAAAAGAAACAAGUACUUAUAUAUUCAACUAUUUAUGAGCAACAGAGCAAUUUUAAUUUCUAAUUAUCGAACAAAAUCUUUACCGCUAAUUAGAUAAUUCAUCCAAGUACGAAAAGAAAACAGAUUUGCACUCAAACAAGACAGAUUCAUGAAAUAUGCUAUGGUAACGCCCCUAACAUUUCAACACCGAUAAACAUAUCAACUUCAUGUUUCAGACAUCCUACAACUACAUAUAUUAGAUCGUAACAAUUCCAACUAAAUGUAAAAGCUCUUAAAGACCUAGUUUGGGAGUGAGGUGCUUAAAAAAAAAACACCUAUGAAAAAAAGCUGUGAGGGUUUUAGGUGUUUGGUAAACUGAAAAAAAAGGGCUUAUUUUGGAAGCUGCUGUGAGAAUAAGCUGAAAUCAAAGGAAAAAGCUGAAGUUGCUAUUUGCAGCUUUGGAAAACUGGCUUUUUUUCAAAGCACACGGAGCUACAAUGCUCCUUUAAUGAAAAGACCCACUAUCAGACUGAUUUUCUUUCCAAAAGCACUUUUACAAAAAAGUUUACCAAACGCUCUGUUGAUUUAUUUCACAGCCGCUUAUUCUCACAGCACAGCCGCUUAUUCUCACAGCAGUUUUUUUUCAAAGCACAGCAAUACCAAACCACUCAAAGCAUAACGACAUACUAGCAAAAUUCAUGGAAGAUAGUAAGUGCCAAUUAACAAGAGAGUCAAAAAGGCUUGAGGAGAAGGGGUCCCCAGCAGCGGCAUCAUUUCUGGCCGGAAAAGGUUCAUUCUAGUAAUAUAAUUUAUACCACAGAACACAUACAAACAGAUUUAAGGAGACACAAUUGUCAUUCUAAAAGAGACACUUUCUCAAUUCUUGAAUUAAAACCUGGACUCCAAGAUUGCAAAACCACAGAAUGUGGUCCCCUUUACAAAAAUGUAUAUCAUGUUUACUCUAUGUUCAUAGUUUGAACCUUCGUUUAUGCAAUCUCGCUCUUGUUUUUGUUCUCUUGUAUGACCUAAUUUUCACACAAUUCUCACCGGAAAACCAAUAGAAAUAUUUAUGAAAAUUGAUAGGUCUCACUUGGAAAUUGUUUCAAAAACCCUAACAACAAAAAUGAAAAGUUUGCAACUUUGGCCAAUAAACAAUCAAACGUGAAAAGAAUUUGAAACUUAUCUAUUUCUAAACACGUUUAUAACAUCUUAAGAGACGCGCAAUGUUGGUGAUAAAAAAGAUCAUUCACAUGCGGAUAAUAAUGUGAUUAAAUUAAUUGUCAAAUGACUGUUUUUUUUAAACGAUAUUAUCGAUACUAAGGGGGAGAGGUGUGUUUAGCCUCACAAUGGGCUAGCAACAAUGUGAUUCAAUCAGUUGUUUAUUAAAUAUUAUUUUAUCUAUUUUAAACACGUUCAAAAUAUCUUAAGAGGCAUGUAAUGCUGGUUAUAAAAAAAGUAUUUCGCACGAGGAUAAUAAUGUGAUUAAAUUAGUUGUUAAAUGAUUUUUUUUAACAAACGAUAUUAUUUACACUAAUGGAGAGGGGUGGGCUUAGUCUCACAAUGAGCUAGCAAUAAUGUGAUUCAAUCAAUUAUUUAUUAAAUAUUAUUUUCUCUAUUCUUAAUGUAAAUUCUAUAGAGACCGAUUUUAUUAUGUGAAUUCAGCUGGUUUAAUUGGUUUAUGAAGGGUUUCUUCUAGCAUGAUCUAAGAUUAUUCAUUUACUUCAAAUAUUUAACUUUCAUUUUGUCAAUUUACACACAAUAUAUACAUUUAAAAAACGUGUAAGUCGUGUAUAGCACGUCGUGAUUCAAAAAAUAUCCUCUGCACGUGCGUAAGCAUAUGCACGGAGGCUAGUAUAUACUAAAGUGGAAUGAGAAAAACAUUGUUCAUAAGAAACAAUGUUUUGACGUUUUUGCCCUCAUUUUUAGUGUUUCUGUGUUCCUAGUUUUUGUGCUGUUGAAAUCCCCACAUUACCAUAUAGGCAUACGUGUGUACGGAAAAAUGUUUUUCACGCGUGGCAUAAGGAAAUUUUCUCUGCAGCACCGUGUUAUUCCCCUGGGAGUCUGCAGCACCGCUCAACCAAAUUUUCUCUCAUUCCGUACUUCUCCACCUCUUCAAUCGUGCUGCACCGUGAAUCGAAACAAAAAACUGCUCUUCCAAAUCAAUUUCAGUUAACUCAAAUCCCUAAAACCCAAAUUUCUCCAGACCAUUGGAAUCAGUUUGCCUUUGUUGUUGCUAAUCUACAGGUAAAGCUUAAAUUUACAUACAAUUUUUAAUUUUUCUUGAUUGGAAUUUGGAAAGAAUUACAGAAAAUUGGCGAUGUCCACCGAGUCGGAUGCGUGGUGGAGACUCGGAUGCUCGCUUCCCUGACGUCACUACGCAUCGAUAAACGCACAUCAUUUCCGACUACGUCACUUCUUUCUCUCGCCUCCUUUUCAUGGUUAGCUCCUCCUCCGUAUUUACUCAACGCCUAAUUUUGGCCUUUUUUUCUUCCUUCACUGAUUUGUUCUAGAGAUCGCAGAUUGUUGAGUCAGAGAAGAGGUACAUUUCCAUUUGGGGUUUUUUCCCAAUUGAUUGAUGCUGUAUUAAUUUGGAAUUUGCCCAAUUGGGGUUUGAGAUUUUUGGUUUAUAUGGUUGUUUUGAACUUUUGAGAAAACCCUUAUUUGUUUUAUUUUUUAAGAAAAUUAAUGAAAAUGAUUUGAAAUCUUUGAAUUUUAGAAUAAGAACAAAAUAAAGGGUAAAGGGAACAAUAGCAAGAUUGACUUUUUAGUGUAAAAAUGUAAUUUUUCGUUAAAGUGAACAAUAUCGAGUAUUUUUUGUUCUUUAAGAGGGGAAUAAUGAUAUGAUCUGUAAUUAGUGAUUAGCUUAAUCACUUAUUCUUGGGAUUAUUAGGCUUAUUCAUGUUUUAGUGGAGUUUGUUAUAACUGCUAGCUGGCAUGAGGAGUCAUGACUGGUAUAAGAGCACUAGUUCUGAGUAUUGUAAUCAGAUCAGAAUUUACAACAAAGAAAAUAAAUACAAAAAUAUUUGGAGCUCUGCUCCUUCAUCUCUCCUUCCCUCUUCUUCCAUAGCUUUCUUGUGCUACUUGCAGGUUGAUUAAGGGAAUUGAGAAUUGGGUCUUAUCAUAGUGGAUCUUGACGAGCGGGCGGGCGGGCGGGCGAGCGAGCCAAGACUUAGUGGUUUAAGCUGGAGAGGUUUAUUUGGAAGAACCAAAGCCGUUUGAGCCGAUGCUGUAGCAGAUUGAACCGGUUCUACGCAGACCUCGCCAAAUCUCAGCCAUCAGAUUGCUGUCCGGACGAUCGCACACUUUGUCCGCAACUUAGACACGCCCUUGCAGUUAUAGCACCAAGGUGGGCCUGGGAGCAAACGGCUGAGAAGAAUUGAACAGAAAUUGGGCCAAACAGGAGCAAAGCGCUGCGCCAGUUGCUGUGGAAGGGAAUGUUGCUGAUGAUGCUGGACUGGGCCCGCAUAAUUCAAGGGCUGCGCUAGAUGCUCAAGCUGCUCGGCAGAGGGAUGCCAGGUUCCACGACCAACACCGCGUGAAUUAUUGUUAAAAUUUCCAUUUGCAAAGAAAAGAUUGAUCAUGGCGUUGAAGAUUUUUGCUUCUGCAGAUCCUCCUGGGUCUUUGAUUAGUUGUUAUACAUUCUCUUAACUCUGUCACAAAAUUUCCAUUUGCAAAGAAAAGAUUGAUCAUGGCGUUGACGGUGGUAGGUGGGGCCGCUCUCUCGGGUUUCUUCCAGCAAGUAUUUGUGAAGUUGGAUUCUCAGGAGGUCAGGAACUUCAUCAGAGGAAAGAAACUGACUGAUGGGUUGCUCAAGAAGUUGAGGAUCAAGUUGAUGUCUGUCAGUGCUGUUUAUGAUGAUGCCGAGCAAAAGCAAUUACGUAACCCACAUGUGAGGCUGUGGCUGCACGAGCUUAAAGAGGCCGUCCUUGAUGCUGAGGACCUACUGGACGAGAUCAAGACAGAAGCGUUGAGGCGGAAAAUUGAAGCUGAAUUUGGAAGUAGCACAAGCAAGGUACAAGACCUCAUCUCUGCUUCUUUCCAUGCUUUUGAUGAGUCUGUAGACACCAAGAUAGAGGAAAUUCUUGAGAGGCUAAGCUUCAUUGUAGAACAAAGAGAUGCCCUUGAUUUGAAAAGAGGUAGUAGACACAAAAUCUCACAAACAUUGCUUUCAACUUCUUUAGUAGAAGGCUCUGAUGUGUAUGGAAGAGAUCGUGAGAAGGAAACCAUCAUUCAACUAUUGUUAUCAAAUGAUGUCACUUGUAGUAAGAUUGGCAUUAUUCCCAUUGUGGGCAUGGGUGGGAUCGGAAAGACCACCCUUGCUCAGCUCUUAUACAAUGAUGAUAGAGUGCAGCAGCAUUUUGAGCUCCAGGCAUGGGUUUGUGUUUCUGAUGAAUUUGACGUUGUUAAGAUCACACAAACAAUUUAUGCAUCAGUCACUUCACGAACCUGUGAUGACCUAAACCAGCUUCAGGUCAAACUCAAAGAUGCUUUGGCGGGGAAGAAGUUUCUUUUUGUUCUUGAUGACGUUUGGAAUGAGAAUUACAAUAUUUGGGAAUCCUUAAGGCGCCCCUUCGAGUCUGGAGCUCAUGGAAGUAAGAUCAUUGUCACCGCAAGGAAUGGUGGUGUUGCAUCUACGAUGGGUACUCUUCAAACCCACUAUUUAAAGCACUUACUUGAGGAAGACUGUUGGUCUUUAUUUGCAAACCAUGCCUUCAAAGAUGCAAGUGUUAUUGUAGAUCCAAAUCUGGAGGUAAUUGGAAGACAAAUUGUGAGCAAGUGUAAAGGCCUUCCUUUAGCUGCAAAAUCGCUCAGUGGUCUCUUACGCUCUGAAUCAAAUGUGGAGGAAUGGGAAAAUGUGCUCAAAAGUGACAUAUGGGAGUUGUCAGAUGCAAAGAUUGACAUUUUGCCGGCUCUAUGGCUAAGCUACCAGUACUUGUCUCCGGAGCUAAAGCGUUGUUUUGCUUAUUGUUCGACAUUUCCCAAAGAUUAUUUAUUUGACAAGUCUAAAUUAAUUUUGUUGUGGAUGGCCGAAGAUCUUAUACAACCCCAAAAGAAGACUAGGUUGGAAGAUGUUGGAAAGAAAUACUUUGAUGAUCUAAUCUCACGGUCAUUUUUUCAAUACUCGUCUUCAAAUGAUUGUUUCAUCAUGCAUGAUCUGAUGCAUGAUUUGGCGACUUACGUAUCUGGAGAAUUUUGCAUUAGAUUGGAAGACCACAACUUCUCAUUGGACGUUGUGAGCAAGGGUCGUCAUUUUUCUUAUAUGCAAUAUUCAUCUAAUGUUGAUUAUGAGAGAUUUGACACUAUUUAUGAAGCUAAGUAUCUGCGCACCUUCAUUCUUGGCAAUCACUUUCCAUCGCCGAAAGUACGACUUGAUCUCCUUUUAGUGCUACAUUGUUUAAGAGUUCUCAAACUACGUGGGCAUGAUAUCACGGAGUUGCCUGAUUCGAUUAGCAACUUGAAGCAUCUACGGUACCUUGACUUGUGGUUCACUCCAAUCCAGAAAUUACCUGACACCGUAUGCAGUUUGUAUAAUUUACAAACGUUGUUGUUGUCAAAUUGUAUAUAUCUAGCUGAGUUGCCCACCGAUUUGAGAAGACUUAUCAACUUGCGCCAUCUUGAUUUCAGAGGUACAAAAUUAAAAAUGAUGCCCCCCCACAUGGGCAAGUUGAAAGAUCUCCAAACAUUUGAAGGUGAGUUUGUCUUGAGCAAAGAUGCCGGGGGAAACAUUGAUGAGUUAAAGGGGUUUCAGCAUUUGAGUGGAAAUCUUCAUGUGUCAGGGCUUCAAAAUAUCAAACGUGCUGAGGAUGCUUUGGAGGCCAAACUGAGGGACAAGAAGCUUAGUGACAUACGUUUGAAAUGGGAAGGUGACACUAUCGAUUCUGAAAACGAUAGCCGAGUGCUGGGCAACCUGCACCCCAAUACAAACCUAAAAGUACUGGUUAUAGAAGGAUACGGAGGUACAAAGUUUCCAGGUUGGUUAGGAGAUGAGUCUUUCUCUAACCUCGUCACUAUCCGACUUGAGACUUGUGGAUAUUGUUUCUCCUUGCCAGCAUUGGGGCAGUUACCCUCCCUCAAAAGGCUUGAAAUUUAUGGGUUAAAUGGAGUGGAAUCAGUGGGGUCUGAGUUUUAUGGGGGAAUUAAACCUGCAUUUAAAUCUCUAGAGUUUCUGAGUUUCUGCAGUAUGCGGGAAUGGCAAGAGUGGUGUUUCCCUGGAGGUGAAGAAGAAGAAGGCGGACAUUUUCCUAAUCUUUGCGAGCUUAGUCUGGAGAACUGUCCCAAACUAACGGGGAAAAUACCGUUAUACUACUUCCCAAGACUUGAGCGGCGUACGUUUGGAGGAAGUUAAUAUCGAAUCCCUUGCUUGUUCGCAAGAAUGCAAUAAAUUCAAUAUUGAACUCCCAUCCCUCCGUGAGUUGAAAAUAUCAGAUUGCCCGAAUCUGGUAUGUUUUGUGGGUGGUGGAGUGCUGCUUGCGCCCAACUUGGAGGAGAUAACUAUUUGCCAUUUUAAGAACUUGUGGUCAGUGCCCGAAGAUAUGCAAAUCUCGCUCCCAUCUCUUCCGUCUCUGUCCAUACAAGGGUGUAAAGAAUUUAAAUCAUUUCCGGAAGAAUCUAAAUUCCCAUCCCUCGUUGUUUUGAAGAUACAGGGAUGCCCAGAAUUUGUGGGUUUCCCCCAUGGAGGAGGACUGCAAGCGCCCAACUUGAAGGAGAUGGAAAUCAAAGAAUGUAACAAAUUCAGGUCACUGCCAGAGGAGAUGCAAAUCUCUCUCCCAUCUCUCGAGUCUCUGUGUAUAAGGGAUUGUCCAGAAUUGGAAUCAUUUUCGGAAGGGGGAUUGCCGUCUAAAUUGCGUUUUCUCAGUAUCUGGAGUUGUAAAGAACUGAUGGCAAACCGUAUGCGGUGGGGUCUACAAACACUCACCUCUCUCAAAUACUUGGAUGUCAGCUUCAGAGGAUGUGAAGAUGAAGAAAUUGGCGAAUCAUUUCCAGAAGAGGGGCUGCUGCCAACCACUCUCACUUCUCUCGGAAUCUACAAUCAUCCGAAUCUGAAAACCAUUGACGGCAAGGCGUUAAGACACCUCAUCUCUCUCGAGAAGUUGGAGAUUUAUUAUUGUCCUCAACUCCAGAGCUUGCCAGAUGAAGGGCUACCCACUUCUCUUUCUCGUCUAGAUAUCUUCCCAGUGUGAUUGCUAAAACAACGGUGCCAGAGAGACACGGAAGAAGAUUGGGCCAAGAUUUCUACAUUCCCAACAUAACGAUUUCUGGCCGAAAGAUAUGAUUUGCAAUGGUACGUAAUUCGUCAACGUGCGUUUAUGUGUUUAUUUACGAUCUGGCUGUGAAAAAUUUAAAUCAUAAACAUGUUUCAAAUGUUAAUAUUCUCGUAAUAACAAAUUUUACAGGUACUCCAGUCCCAUAUAAACAUGAAAGUAUUUGCGAUAGAAACAUACGGAGCUACAAAAAUUCCAGAUGACUCGUUCAUUCUCUCAUCUUGUUACUCUUCGACAUGUGGAUUGUGAAUAUUGUUUUUCAAUGCCAGCAUUGGCACAGCUACCAUCUCUCAGAAGGCUUGAAACUGAUGGGUUAAAUGGAGUGGAAUUGUUCCUCGUUUCUUACUGUGUCUUACGGUGGUUCUAUUAUACCACAGUUUGUUGAACGAACUAGUCUUCGGUGAAAAACGAGCUUCAACAAGUUUACGAGCCCUAGUUUCCGAAUUUCCUUUUUCAAGUUUGUUUGCCAAAUUAUGUCUAUUGAGAGGUAGAUUUUGGUACUUUGUGGAAUUCGAAUUCAAAUGUUUGGUUUGUAAAAUAUGGAUGAUGAUUUCGUUUCUGUGGAACUGUGAAUCUAUGAUCAUGCUUGAAUGUUGUAAGCCCAGAGUAUCGAAAACCCUCGGUUGUCUACUAAUCGAUCUCAAGCGGCCUAAAUUCGAUUUGUUUAAUUAGUAUUGCAAGAUGAUCUUAUCUACUAAUCAUGUCUUUAUCAAAUGAUUACCACUUCAUCAUGCCCUCAGGGAUGCACAGAGCUUCAAAAGUUUUCAAGUUGCUUCGCAUGUGUAGGUUUGAAGUCGUGCAAUGAUAUGUACGCGAAACUUAUGAGCAAACAAAAGUAAACAACUCCUAUGCAUAAAUGUUGGCUGCCAGAAAAUCUCAGUAGUACCAGAGAAGAUAAGCUUGUAAUAAAUUUCUAAUUCUCAAAACAGAGGAAACAAGAGAAAGAAGAUCUACAUAUAAGUGCCCCUAGUUGGCCGGCACACAUGAUUUCUUUUAUGAGCAUGUUCUUCAUUAUGGUGCUGUGUCCGACAUGCAUAUCCAUACCAGCAAUUUUCCCUGUUUGAUGCCUCUGUGGGUAGAUGAUAUUUGGGAAUCGAAAUCCGAAACCAGUACAAGAGCAAGGAGAUCAGCUUCUCAUAACAGUAAUUGCACGUAGGUGUCCCAGAAGUUAUUGCCUCAGCAUGAUUCUGGGGCAUCCUCGUUCGAUCAAUUUCUCUGUUGUUCAACUUUGCAAGCCAUUCUGCAAUAACAUCCUGCAAUGUUCUUCCCAACAGUGCAAUACAUUUCUCAGUGAUAACUUGUUCAUGUCGAUUGUUUUCAUGUGCGGAAGUAGGGAUUCUAGAGAUGGUCAGUUCUGAGAUUGGUUUAAAAGUCUCGCGAAUGCACACACAGCGAGAAUCACUUUGUGCAACCCCUGCGUGCCAAUAUGUACCACAAAAUGCCUGAUCACAUCCUAAACAGUGUUGAGGUACACUGUUAUUACUUCAUGAGGCGUCAUUCCUUCGCAUGCUUGACAUUGCAGAUGGAUAGUGCUUUGAUUGCAAACCCCACCAUAUUCAGUACCACAUUGAGGGCAUAGAUUUGACGCAGUACCAGCUUCAUCAUCCACCUGAGGGCGAGCCCUUAUUCCUUGAAGAUGUUUUCCAAAGUUUACAAUUCAGAUUAUAUCGUAUUGUCGCAUAAUAGUCUAAAAUUUCCACUUCGUCAUUGGGGCAAAAAAUCCGCUUUUAGUAUUUCCUCCGCAAUGUUGAGCAAGAAGUGAUCAUUUACUACAAUAUCUUCUCAUUGUGUUUUGUUCUAAUAGUUGUCCUAUUUGUUUCUUUUGUCUACCGUACUUUAAACUACCAUCACGAACAUACGAAAUUACUGUCUAUAGAGCUUUUCGGUUUUCUGGUAUCUGUUACAGCUUAAUACUAGAAAAAUUGCCCCCGCUCUGCUGUGGGGUUUCAAACUAUAAUUGACAACAGCCAUGAAUAAUAUUCAUAGAAAAAUUCACUCAAAAGGCAGCAGCAACACAAUCGCAUUCUCAAAUGCAGCAAUUUAGACAACGCACAUUUUACUUGAGUAAUUCCCACAAAAUCACAAAUUAACAGUCAUCUCCAAAUAAUUGAAAAAUCAAGAGAUAGGUGAAUCGAUACGGUAAAAUAAGCAGUUCAAUUUGAUUUUACAUUCUAUUAAGUUAACAUCAAGAGCCAAUAUAUUUAUGGUUAUGGUUUUCAAUCAGUGUUUUAUUGUCUUCUUUUUAAAUUAGUGGUUCUUUUCAAAUACAAAGUUUAGUCUUCUUAGCAAAGUCAUUAUUUUUUAUAGUGGUUGGUUGAAAUAAAGAGGUAGUAUGAAAUUGUGACCAUUAGACAAUAGUAUGGCUGUGAUCUAAUAGUAAAUGACCUUAAUUUCACACAUAAGUUUGGUUUCAAACUUACUACAUAAAAACAAUGUCAACUUGCAAGACACUAUAUGAACUGGCUGGAUAGCUAGUUGAAUAAGCUUGUUCCCCUGUUUUCCCUUUCUUUUGAGUAAUUUCCUCCUUCCCCUCCCUCCCCCCAAACCAUCUUCAUCCCAUUUUGCACUUUCCCAAAAGCCUUUUCUCUAUCCCCGUCUUCACUUUAUCACAUGCUUUUUUAUCCUAGCCAUAAUUAGACUAAUGGGAUUUAUACCUAGAGACUAAUGUGCUUUUUCACAUGCUUUUUUCUCUCAAAAUUUAUAGAAAUAUGAAAAUGAUCAUCACAAAUUUCAAAUCCUGCAAUAACCUAAAUUAAAACAAUUAUUCAAAUUCCUAAAUUAAAACAGCAUUUAGAAGCACUAUAAACUCAAAUCACAAACAUCAACAACAUGGUGAGAAUGAAGCUUUAUCUUAUAGAAAAUGAUAAAUCUUUCUCAACCAAUAUGCUAAAAAUGUCCACCACCAGUAUAUAAUAAAAAAACAGAAGGCUAACUUCAUCACAUAGCACCACCUUUAAACGCAUUUCUUUCAGAAAUUAAAUUAAGAAAAAAUUUGACAUUCACAUGCCACUCAUUAAGAAACUAAUACUAACUGAAGUUGUAUAUUGUAAAAUGCAACCGCUUUUAGAAUUCCUAAGUCAUAUCUGUUAGCAAGAAACCCAUACUAACUCAAGUUGUAUAGUGUAAUAACGCAACUGCAAAAAGACCAAGCUUCUGCUACUAAAAAGCUUUUACAAAAUCAUAAAACUCUUAACAGUUUGAACCCUACCGGAAAGUUUAUAUGAGUUGAAGAACAGUUGUACUUAAGUGCAGCAAGAUCAUAACCUCUUGCAGUUUCUCCUCCAUGUCAAAACCACCUGCAGUCCAAAUUAAGAAAGAUUCAAUGCCAGAUCAAGAACAAAAUAGUAAUAAUUUAAACUAAAAUCCUUAAUUAUUGUUGCAGAGAGAAUUCAUAUCAAGAUUAACUACAAUAUUUAAUUCGAACGGAAUCCAAAAGUAGCAUAAAUAUGAAAGGUAAAAAAUUAAUAGCAAAAGUCACAUUUCAGCAGCGAUUAAUAGCAGAAAUCAAAGUUCAGUGGCAGGGACCAAAUAAACCUCUGGAUUUCAGACUACUUAACAAAUUAGACAAACACAUAAUCCAAUUUCAUCUUUUUCCACUCAUUUUUUUCUUGCAACACUGUUGGGCACCAAACAUCACCAAAACCGAGCUCGCUGACACAUAAAUAAGCUACCGUACACUUUUUGAUGAGGUUGGCAGAGAGCUCAAUUUAGUGGCGCUCGUACCCUUUGAAUACGUCGCUCGUCUUUCCCUAAGUUUCUCUCUGCAUUCAACCCAUCACACAAUUUCAACAAUAAUUCAGUUUGAACGAUCUGAAAUCAAUGGAAUCGGAAGUAAAUACCUAUUUCGAUCGGAGAUUUGAAUGGAUCGCCGGAGACGAUGGCUGAAGAGCAGUGGCGGGUGUUUAUUUUUUGUUCUAGGUGGUGGUGGCGGCGGCUUGCUGUCGAAGCGAUUGAAACGGAUGGAAACAACAAUGUGCGCGAAAGGAAACCUCUCUCUCUACAUGUGACCCUUCCUUUCACCGCCAAAAUAAAGCAUCAAAACACCUUGGUUGCUCCUGUUAGAAGAGCCUUACUUGCUACUGUUCAGUGCCCCCACCCCUCCCUCUUUCUCUCUGCCUCUGCAACCCGCCUCUCUCUUUCUAUUUUUGCCUUACCGAAUGUCAGACCAUCCUCAGUCAAUCAUGUCAGUGGAAUCCUCACAAAAUCCCUCACUCAAUCGGGUCAGUGAUAACCUCCCUCAAUUUCCUCCCUCACCCUCGGCAACACCACCACUCUCCCAAACCUGAGAAUGACCAAAAUACCCACGCAAUUUCCAAUCCGAUGCGUCGGAUUUAGAAAGUAGAUAGGAUAAAAUAGGCAUUUGACGUUCAGGGCUUUAACCCAUUCAAUGGUCACCAUCGAAGCCCACUUCGGGCCCAAAACCAACAGCCCUAAAAGACCCAAAUUAUGGUCAGCGGUAGAGAUGUAAAUAUUCAGCCAAAUCUGAUGGCAUUAUUGUAAGUAACGUGAAAUAGAGGGGCAAAAACUUGACUGUAGCUACAGUCAAAUUCUUCCUCAGUUUUAGAAUAGAUAAUGUUGAGCCUAUGACAGCCAAAAUACAUAGCUUGUUUUCUGUUGAGACGCUUCUCUCAUAUCUGGCCAAUUAAUGAAGAGCAAACUACGACACCAUUAUUCAAAAUUUGACAAAGUGAAGUUUUCCUCUAGGAAUCUUCACCUUUCAAGCUAUAUAUUUUCUGGUUCUCAAUUCUUACAAUUUUCAUUGUUUUGUUGCUAACUUGUUUACUCACCGCUAUUCAAAAUUUGACUCUUUCUUUUGCGCUAAGUUGAUUUGCCCUGAAAUUUGCUAAGAUUGCUCAAACGUAUUUCUUUUACAAUUUUCUCUUGUGUUUGCUUUAAUCGCGUACUGACGUUGGUGAUUGAGAAAAUGACAUUGUUGAUGUCAAUGCUCAACUUUACUGUUUACUUUUUGUAUAGCUAAGUUUAUUGUAGCUCGAGAUACGUUCUUUAUAUGUGAGUAAGUCUUCCACCAAAUCAGAAACUAAAGCGUUUUAUAUACGUUGAAACGUGAUUGGAAGAUGCGUUGUCAUCCAUUCUUUUCGAUUUCCUGUGCUUGAGUUAUAUUAUUUCCUCCAUGAUUUGAAGUCGUUUCCGAAGUAUAUUUAUUGGGAUUUUGAGAUGCGCGUUCUGGUACUUUUUGGAAUAUGACUUGAAACUUUCAGAGCAAGCGCAAACCAGAGUUUACCGUUCUAAUUCCUCUUUUGAUUAUACAGUUAUAUUCUCAAUUGUCAUUACCUCGAGAUUACUUGGUAAUGACGUGAUUACACAGUUAUAUUCUCAACUUGCUAUUACCUCGAGAUUACUCGGUGGUAGUGACAUGAUUACACAUUUAUAUUCUCAGCUUGUCAUCAUCUCGAGAUUACUCGACAAUGACAUAAUUAGAUUUCAGCUUACACUAGUUACGGCUAGUGUAUGAUUUUGUAUGCAUGUAAGAUAGUGUCAGAGACCCAUUAAGUGUGGUCCUUCGGGGAUGCAAUAAAUGUGGUUACUUGCAGGUGUUUUAAUUUGGGCUUAUCCCUAUUUCGGUAGAUUUUAAUAGUUGAAAACUUGAGUUAUGACUUUAUGCAUAUUAUGGAUUCGUCACCAAUCCACGUGAUGGCCAGCUGAUAGGAUUUUUAGUAUUUGCAUAAAGAGGGUUAAAAAUCAUACAAAAUACUUGUAAGAGAACAAGGUAGUUGUAGUAAAAAUGCUCAUGUAAGGUCGUUCCCACAAGGAUUAUCUAAAACAAUUUAUGUAAAAAUAAAAUCUUAGUUAAUUAUUUGAAAACAAAGUUUGAAAAGAGUGGUUUUUCAAUCUAAAUAAUAAAAACGAAUUUAAUAAAAGUAAUUGAGGAAAAUCAACAAGAAAUUAAUUUUAAAGAAAUCAAAUUAAAAAGAAAUGGCCUUGAGAAAUAGAUUUGUAAAAGCAUUAGGGUUCCACUGUCAUCUUAACAACUCUUUGUAGAUUCACUAAUUACUUAUGAAUUACACAUGCAACUUUGAAUGUUAGGUUUUCCUAAUGCAUAUUUAACUUGUGGCAUUCAAGAUAGAACGUAUAUCAAACAUGCAAUCCGUCUAUAGCAUUCAUAUCAAAUAUAAACAUGCAUGACUCAUUAUGUUUUGUGAAAACCCUUUGAAAAAUCAUGCUACCUUUAAGACAUGGCAUUCGCCCUAAUUGACUUACAAUUAUUAAUCAUAAGAAGCAUUCCUCAAUUUCAAGGUGACAUUCCAACAUAAAUUGCGUCUGAUUGCUUAUCUAAACAUUCUAAUGGUAGCAAAGCAUUAAAACAUAGAGACUAUUUAAAUGCAGUGAUUAAUAAUUCAAAGCAUGCAUACAUAAUAUCAUAAGCAAUAAAAUAAAAACCACAUAUUCAUGCUAAGGCUAAUGGCCCCACCCUAGCAAAAGAAAGUUAAUUAUGCAUAUUCAACCAAAAGAGUUUUAUUGAAAUAGAAAAAGAGUGAAAACACCUUGUAGAAUAAAGUUUGAAAAUCUCUUAAACUUUGGCCAAAAUUCUCUCUCAUAUAUCACGUUGAAAAGAAGAACAUAGGGCCGGCCACAAUGGCUUAUUUAUACUACUUAGAAAAUCCAAUCCUUCCUAGAAAAUGACUUAAAAUAAAAUUAGGAGACCAAAUAAAUUGAAAUAAAUUAGAAAACAUAAUCCUAAAUUGACUAGGAUAAUCAGCUCAAAAUCUGCACAACGACGUUUUGGAUCCAAAUCUCCUCCAAAAGUGGCCCAAAAUAGCUGGAUUUAAAGUUUCAAAUAAUCUGAACACUUCUCCAGAAGGUCAUGAACCCAACAGAGGUCAUCUUAGGCUCAUAAAAUCGUAAUUAAGCCAAAAAAGUCACUUUUCAGCAUCACGCAUUGCUUUUUUAUUUCAUCGCUAGAAAAUAACCACUUGGUAGAAAAAAACCAAAAUUUUGACACGAACGAGCUAAAGGACUCACGAACGUCCUCCAAUUUGAAUCAAUUUAAAAUUCACCCGUUUGAUCACGUUUUGCUCCAAAGGAUGUCAAAUGUUUUAUAUUGAAAAUAUAAAGUUAAGUAUCAAAAUUAUACCAAAAUAAUUACCAAAACAUACUAAAAUAGGAUAAAAUAUAUAAUAUGACAGACCAAAAAGCUAUAUGGUAGGUGUGCCUGCUUUGUGACUAAAGUUCGCUCUGCUUUUGACCAAAGGCUCCUCCAUGCCUUGUGAGAUUUCCAAUCAGCUUCCAGCCGCCAUAAUACGGCACUAUUAGUAUUGUAUCAUUAUAUCUAUACGAAAACUUCAGUUGAUGGGACACGGUUUACCAACAGUGAUUUCACGAAAAUACCUUUGGUUUUUCUUCCCUUUCCUGCUUUGCUUUUUAAUCUUAAACAGCGGAUUUACAAAUUUCCCCUUACUAUUUGUUGGCUGGGGGUGCCACUACCUCUUAGAAGAUACCUGUUUGUUCCAUUUGCGUCCAGAAUCUCCCCAGUUCUCUCUAUCACAAACCACGAACCAAAAAAUCCUCUCUCUAAAAAGACCACGAACCCCAGCACAAUCUCUCUCAAAACCUGUUAACCACAACACAAUCCGGUCCCGAUUCGAAGAAAGCUUUAAGCCCAGAAAAAGUUCGGUUUCAUGGUGAGUUCUCCUACCAAUUUGGGGCUUCUUUUUGUUUUUUCUUUUUUUCUGGGUAGCAUGCAGUCUUUUCUGAGUUAAUGGUCGAGGCUUUGUUAUAAAAAAGAGUAGUGGUUGUGGGUCAGUUAGGUACUCAAGAUUCUUGAAUUCUAGAUGUGUUGAAUUUGGUUUUUUUUUUCACUAAUGGUUUUUUUUUCACUAAUGGCUUGCUUCAUAGAAUUAAUACAAAUACAAAAUGGAAAAAUGAUUUUAAUCCAUAAAUAAUAUUCAAAUACUUGAAAAGUUUGUUUUAAAUUGGGUUUGGUUUCAUUGGUUUUUCUGAUUUUGAAACUUUUGUUUUCAGGCUCCAAAGGCUUUUAGGGGCCUGUUUGGUAUGAUAUUAAAAAAAAAUCAUUAUUUCUCAAAACAGUUUUUUAAGAAUAUCUUUUAAAAACAAUUUUCUUUUAAGAUUCAAAAAUUUGUUUAGUAUGAGAUUUAAAAUUAUUUUUAAAUCUUAGAUAAGAUUGCUGAAAUUAAGUAUGGUUCCUUUGCAGGGGAGUUUGUUUUGAUUUUUUGUGGAAGAAUUCCAGUUUCCAGCGCUUCGUAUUCUUCAAUUACAGGUAAAUGAAUGUUGCAUGUGAAAUUUUUUUUCAACAAAUAAAGAAAACCCUUUCGUUGGGUUGGGCGAAGCCAUAUUGCUUCUAUUGGCAUAAAACUAUACAGCUGAAGAUUUUCUGUACUUAAUUAUCAAAGUAUGCGGUGGUUUGAUAAUUAAGUACAGAAAAUCUUCAGCUGAUAUCCUUCUUCUCUUUGCGUGAUAAAAUCAUGUUUUUUGGAUUAUGAUGCUUAUUCUGAUUCUUAUCUGUAAACCAUUGAUGAUAUAACAUUAUAGGCUUGGGGUAGUAGGUUUUGUAGUCUUUUUCCUGAAAUAUAACUGAGUACUUCAUAAUCGUUGCAUUCCUUGGUUUGUGAUUUUGUUGCUCGAGUACCGAGGUUUAUCUUUUGGUGCUCUCUGAUUGGUUCUCACAUUUGAGUCAUCUCACCAAAUCAUUAAUGUAGAUUUCCUCUUGAAAUUUUAGGUAGGUGGCGAUCUCUGCUUGGCUCUAUCAGUUGAUUCACAUAACCUAAUAAUUGAAGUCUUCUUUUCCUUGGGUCGGAAAAAUGGCAAUAAUUCUACUUGAGUUGAUAUUUCUUAAAGAAAAACUAAUGAAAAAAAAAUCAAAUCUUUACAUUUUAAUAAAAAAUCAUCUACUAACUUUAUUUAAUGAUAAAGACAAAAGAAUUAAAAAAAAACAUAAAAAACCCAACUUGCGCUGGGCGCAUCCCCCAACCCCCUUCCACACUCCACUUUUUUUGAUUGUUUGAUACAUUAAUAUAUUUUUUAUUUAUUUUAUUUUUGCUAAAAUAAGAAAAAGAGUUCAAACUGAAUUACAUUCCCCAGUUUUAUAUUUGUGGUGUUUUUUUCCCAAUAAUAGUCAAGAUGAUGAGAAAUUUUUCAAUGUGACCGGAGCACGGGGUGGUACACCACGUGUCUCUAUACAAGUUGUGAGAUUCUUGUGUUAAAAAAUUAAGUACACAAAAAAUAAAAAUUUUCACUACUUACAUAAUAACACGUGGUGUGCCACUUGUGUUAUGGGCACAAGGUAAAGUUUCUCCAAGAUGACACUCAAGCUCAAAAAAUUGGAUGGAGAGUUACAUUUAUUUUUGUAGGUAUGUAAAAAAAUGUGAGGAAAUUUUAAUUUAGUAAUUGAAAACAACUUUUUAAAUAUAAUUUUCGAGAACAUAAUCUUCUCAAGGAUUUGAUCUAAUGGAUCAUUUAUGGGUUUAUCGUUUUGGGCGCAAUGAGUGCUUUUACAGGACCAAAAAGAGUAAGUUUCAAACCUUAUGAAACUGAACCAAGAAGUAAACACUAUUUAUAAAAGUUGACCAAUAAGCAGACACUAUUUAUGAAACUAAAUCAAUAAGCAGACACUAUUUAUGAAAUUGAACCAAUAAGUAUACACUAUUUAUGAACGAAAACAAGAAUUAGACAUUAUUUCUAAAACUAAACCAAUAGAUGAAAAUUAUUUAUGAAACUGGACUAUACAAUAUUUACGAAACUGGACUAAGAAUUAGACAAUAUUUAUGAAACAAGAUCAACUAGGCAUUAUUUAUGAAAGUUGGCAAAUAACUAGGCACUAUUUAUGAAACUGGACCAAGAAAGAGACUAUUUAUGAAAUUAUACUAAUUACUAUACAUUAUUUAUAAAACUGGACCCAAUAACUAGGCUUUAUUUAUCAAACAUGAUCAGGAACUAGACACUAUUUAUGAAACAUAAUCAAGAUUUGGACACUAUUUAUGAAAUUGGACUAAUAAAUAUUGUAAUACCGUUCAGAUACUGCAAUUUAAUACAGUGUUUGGUUUCAUGCAUGCACGGGUCUUGUGUGUUAGGUAUUUUUUAUUUUUAAUUUAUAUAUAUAUAUAUAUAUAUAUUAAAAUUGUAUCAUUUUCAUUAAAAUUUAAGUUAUUUUGUCCUUUUGGAAAAUGUACCCAUGUUUUGGUACAAUAAAUUUUUUACUAUUAUUUAUGAAUGUAUAUACACAAUAUAUUGGAGAGUAUAAUUUAUCAUUUAAUAUUUUUAAUUCCACUAAUUAUGGGUUUUAUUUAAAAUCUCAUAAAUAUAAACAAUUAUAACUACAAAUUUCAAUUUUCAAUUUAAGCAUAUAAUAACUUACAUAUAAAUACAUUAUUUCAUUAAUGUCAGAGACCUAGAUCAAAAGCUGAAAACCAACAAGUUUAAUAUAAGAUCCAUUCUUAGUAUAACAUGUACCCAUUUCUUUUUAUAUAAGAUCCAUUCAAUUUUUUUCUAAUCUAUAUUUUAAACUUCUAUGGGUAUAUUCUAUUUUGUUGAUCUAAGAAUGUAUCCCUGUCAAGUUUAAUCAAAGAAAUUUAAUAAUGUUAUUAAGUCUUUUUUUUUUUUUUGUGGUUUUGGAAAAUGUACUCAUGUUUUGGUACAAUAAAUUUUUUUACUAUUAUUUAUGAAUGUAUAUACACAAUAUAUUGGAGAGUAUAAUUUAUUCUUUAAUAUUUUUAAUUCCACUAAUUAUGGGUUUUAUUUAAAAUCUCAUAAAUAUAAACAACUAUAACUACAAAUUUCAAUUUAAGAAUAUAAUAACUUACAUAUAAAUACAUUAUUUCAUUAAUGUCAGAGACUUAGAUCAAAAGCUGAAAACCAACAAGAUUUCAGUUAAAGAACAAUGAUAGUUAGGGACCGCAUCCAAACUCUCCCCUUAGAAAAUUAUUAUUCUAAGCAAUGC
rnacentral:lncRNA from 1 species